GCCGAGAUAGCUCAUUCGGUAGAGCAGAGGACUGAAAAUC
rnacentral:tRNA from 1 species